AAGAUUAAGCCAUGCAUGUCUAAGUAUAAGCACUCUUUUACUGUGAAACUGCGAAUGGCUCAUUAAAUCAGUUAUCGUUUAUUUGAUAGUACCCUACUACAUGGAUACCUGUGGUAAUUCUAGAGCUAAUACAUGCGCAAAACCCCGACUUCGGAAGGGGUGUAUUUAUUAGAUAAAAAACCAAUGCCCUUCGGGGCUCCUUGGUGAUUCAUAAUAACUUCACGAAUCGCAU
rnacentral:rRNA from 1 species